AAGCUGGUCGAUUUGGUCACAUUGGCAGUAUUUGUGGCCAGAAUUUGAUUCUGGCAUCUGAAUGGAAUAGGCACUCGGCAUUGGAGGCAGUGGCAGCAGAACGCUAGCUAGCUGGUAAGUGUAAUUUUUGUUAUGAUUUCCUCCACUACGGAGGGCCUCCAAAGAAGGCGCACAUCCCUUGCAGCAGCAAGGCAUGGAGCAGGUCCUCGUGCAGCCAAUGAUGGGGCUGCGAAAGACCAGUGGACAUCAAGCUGGGUGUGCACUGAGCAGCGGCAAUCGUGUAGGAGGACUCGUAUGGAUUCAUUAAAUUAUGAUCAAGGACUCCAGUUCCAAUUUCUAUAGCGUGUCGCAGGCAAAGCUCCAGCAAGUCCAAGGCAGGUAAUGCUGAUCCCUUCCAGCUUUUAGUGACCUAUCGGAUGCAGUGCCUCCAAACACUAAAGGGUGAGUACCAUUUUUUUAAAAUAAGUGAUGCACGUCAUCAAUUGAUACGUUACAGCGUUUUAACAGACCAAAUUUUAACGACUGCUUGUACUUUAAAUGCGCUCCCCACGCAGUUCCCCCGUCUAUUUGUAUUUCGCAAUUUUUA